ACUCCUGCGGGAGGCAGCAGUGGGGAAUUUUGGACAAUGGGCGAAAGCCUGAUCCAGCAAUGCCGCGUGUGUGAAGAAGGCCUUCGGGUUGUAAAGCACUUUUGUCCGGAAAGAAAUCCUUGGCUCUAAUACAGUCGGGGGAUGACGGUACCGGAAGAAUAAGCACCGGCUAACUACGUGCCAGCAGCCGCGGUAAUACGUAGGGUGCGAGCGUUAAUCGGAAUUACUGGGCGUAAAGCGUGCGCAGGCGGUUUGCUAAGACCGAUGUGAAAUCCCCGGGCUCAACCUGGGAACUGCAUUGGUGACUGGCAGGCUAGAGUAUGGCAGAGGGGGGUAGAAUUCCACGUGUAGCAGUGAAAUGCGUAGAGAUGUGGAGGAAUACCGAUGGCGAAGGCAGCCCCCUGGGCCAAUACUGACGCUCAUGCACGAAAGCGUGGGGAGCAAACAGGAUUAGAAACCCUGGUAGUCCCAUGA
rnacentral:rRNA from 1 species